rnacentral:rRNA from 1 species
GACGUAGGGCGCGAGCGUUGUCCGGAUUUAUUGGGCGUAAAGAGCUCGUAGGCGGCUUGUCGCGUCGACCGUGAAAACUUGGGGCUCAACCCCAAGCCUGCGGUCGAUACGGGCAGGCUAGAGUUCGGUAGGGGAGACUGGAAUUCCUGGUGUAGCGGUGAAAUGCGUAGAUAUCUGGAGGAAUACCGGUGGCGAAGGCGGCAUCCUGGACCGACAUUGACGCUGAGGAGCGAAAGCCAGGGGAGCAAACGGG